rnacentral:lncRNA from 1 species
GCCCAAUCAUCCAUAAUAUUGGGCUAGGAAGCCAAUGUAAGGCCAAGAGUCCUAGCUUGGCCCAAUUCCGGAACAUUCUAGACAACUCCAGCACAUUUGAGCAACUCUAGAUUCCGGAACGUUCUAGGGAACUCUAGCACAUUGGAGAACUCUCUAGAGCUCUCUAGAACUCUCUAGAGCUCUCUAGAACUCUCUAGAACUCUCUAGAGCUCUCUAGAACUCUAUUGAACAUUCUAGAAUUCUCCAUAGAAUUCUAGCACAUGUAUGUACCUAGAAUGUAGUAGAACUCUCUAGAACUCUCCAUAGAGUUCUAGGACAUGUACAUAACU